GGCCUCGUCCCUCUUUUGUCCUGUGGCUUUGUCUCUGCAGUUCACGGCUCUUCCCUGUCUCUGGUCUCCAGUACCUCCUCUAUCUACUCUACGACUGAAGAGAAAUCCCAGUCAGAGGUAAGACUUGAACUCCCUUUCACCUUCUUUGUAAAGAAGUGCACUCUUUCCCCCUUUCUUCGUUCCCUCUUUCUUGUUGCUUUUAUCUACCUCUCUCGUUCUGUCUUGUUCUCUCUCGUUCUGUCUUGUUCUCUCUCGUUCUGUCUUGUUCUCUCUCGUUCUGUCUCUCUGUCUCUCUCUCGUUCUCUCUCGGUCUCUCUGUCUCUCUCGUUCUCUCUCUCGUUCUCUCUCUCUGUCUCUCUCUCUCUCGGUCUCUCUCAUUGUCUCUCUCUCUCUUGUUCUCUCUCUCUCUUGUUCUCUCUCGUUCUCAUUCUCUCUCGUUCUCAUUCUCUCUCGUUCUCUCUCGUUCUCAUUCUCUCUCGUUCUCAUUCUCUCUCGUUCUCUCGUUCUCUAUCUCUCAUUCUCUCUAUCUCUCGUUCUCUCUCUGUCUCUCUCGUUCUCUCUCUCUCUCUCCUUCUCUCUCUAUCUCUCGUUCUCUCUCUCUCUCUUAUUCUUGUCUCUGUAUUCAUAUGACAUGUUGGAACAUGGGGGCGUAUUCAGUAUUGUGUCAAGUUACACAUGUCUGUGUUGUGGGUGACCAUGUGACAAUAAGCCCUGGUUCCAGACACCUGUGUGCUCCUUUAUGAAGCCAUGGCACGAUGCUUCCUUUCCCUAACCCCUUUCUAUCAGAGAGUAGAUCAGGGAGUUUUCCCUUGUAUUGUCACACCGACACAACCUUCUCAGGCCGUUGUGUGUUUUGGUGAUGAUGUGUGUUUUUGAUGCUUGUUUUAUAUUUAGAUCCGUAAGCUGCGUCGAGAGCUGGAUGCCUCCCAGGAAAAAGUCUCGGCCCUGACAACACAGCUGAGUGCUAAUGUAAGUACAACAGGAGGGGAAACCUAGAUACACACACACAAAUGUGGAAACAUACGCCCCCACAAAC
rnacentral:lncRNA from 1 species